CGCCCCUCCCCCGCCGGCCCGCCCGAUCCCGCCGGGCGCCCCGUGCCGCCGUCGCCUCGCUCGGCGGAGCUGCUGCGGGCGCUCGCCCUGUGCGCGCGGGCUUGGAAUAUGGUUGGGGAAAUGGAAGCCAAGGAGAAGCCGAAGCCGAGCCCCGAUUACUUGAUGCAGCUGAUGAACGACAAGAAGCUGAUGAGCAGCCUUCCUAACUUCUGUGGGAUCUUCAACCACCUCGAGCGGCUGCUGGACGAAGAAAUUAGCAGAGUACGGAAAGACAUGUAUAACGACACAUUAAAUGGUAGUACGGAGAAGAGAAGUGCAGAAUUACCAGAUGCUGUGGGACCUAUUGUACAGUUACAAGAGAAACUAUAUGUGCCUGUAAAAGAAUAUCCAGAUUUUAACUUUGUUGGAAGAAUCCUUGGGCCCAGAGGACUAACAGCUAAACAGCUUGAGGCGGAAACAGGAUGCAAGAUAAUGGUCCGAGGGAAGGGCUCAAUGAGAGACAAAAAGAAGGAAGAACAGAACCGAGGCAAGCCCAACUGGGAACACCUGAAUGAAGAUUUGCAUGUACUAAUCACUGUGGAGGAUGCUCAGAACAGAGCAGAAAUAAAACUGAAGAGGGCUGUUGAAGAAGUGAAAAAGUUACUGAUACCUGCAGCAGAAGGAGAAGACAGCCUUAAAAAGAUGCAGCUGAUGGAGCUUGCAAUUCUGAAUGGCACCUACAGAGAUGCCAACAUCAAAUCACCAGCCCUUGCCUUUUCUCUUGCAGCAACAGCCCAGGCUCCAAGGAUCAUUACUGGGCCUGCGCCUGUUCUCCCACCAGCUGCCCUGCGUACUCCUACGCCAGCUGGCCCUACCAUAAUGCCUUUGAUCAGACAAAUACAAACCGCUGUCAUGCCAAACGGAACUCCUCAUCCCACCGCUGCAAUAGUGCCACCAGGACCCGAAGCUGGUUUAAUUUACACCCCGUACGAGUACCCCUACACGCUGGCACCAGCUACAUCAAUCCUUGAGUAUCCCAUUGAACCUAGUGGUGUAUUAGGUAUGGCUUUCCCAACGAAAGGCUAAGAAUUCAAGAACGGUCUUAACUGAUCCUUCAUCAGAUCUGAAUUUUAACAAAUGCUUAGUUUCAGCAGCCUUGAGAAAAGCUUGGCCUAGCAGUCAGUGACUUACUUGCACUUUUUUGCACAUAGAUUUAAAAUAAAAUAGUGCUAUUAAUUUGGAUUAGCCCCUAUUAUUACAGAGUAGCUGUAAUUUAUGAGUGUAUAGUAGUAUACUGACUGCUAAGUGUUCUAUAUAGUGUUUGCUUUACUAAUCACCUAAUUCAUUGCAGUUCAUACUUAUUGACUUAAAGUAUAAAAUCACAAUCUGUAGGCUUGAAGAAUUGCUUUAAAACUUCUUUUUUGUGGUAGAACUGGAAAUGAUCUUAAAGUUAGCAAAUAAUUGUCAGUAUUAAAAGAUGGCAUUAUUUAAAAUAGUCCUGCUGCAAGAAAGGCACUUCAGUGAAUAUGUGACUAGUAAAGCUUAAAUGUGCUUGGGUCUAAUAGAUUUCAUGAAAUACUGUAAUUUUGGGAUUGUAAAUGAAUGGAUUAAACAGGUUAAGGCCAGGAUGUUUAAAAUAAAUGCAAUAUUAAUCUGCACAGAUAAACUUCUUAUGGUUAAAAUUUGAAACUACUGUGCCUUAACUUGUUGCUUUUCUUAAAAUGAACUUUUGUAGUUAAUGAUCAUUUAAAUCCAUUUUGAUAAACCUGCUGUUAAUGUUUUCUUUGAAUGUUUUCUAACUUUGUCUUGAUAAUUGCAAUUUAACUAGGUGCGGUGGCUACUAAAGUUCGAAGGCACGAUAUGCGUGUCCAUCCUUACCAAAGGAUUGUGACCGCAGACCGAGCCGCCACCGGCAACUAACCUAUGACCUUCUGACCUCUGAACUCUUCACCCAAUGAUGACCUGACCAUGCCUGCCUGCUGAUCAGUUAACUGGUAAUCGCCUUUGCUUGCCUGUCUUCAGUGCAGCGAGCUGGGGCACUUGUCCGUUCGUCUUACCAUCUAACAAAACAGACAAAGAAAUUGUUGUCCUCCAACUCCGCUUUUUUGUGUUCUCCUGUCUGGGUGAAAGUGGUUCUAGAACCUGCACUGAAUAGUAGUAAAGCAAUAAGGUCCAAUUCAUCCCUCCGCACUGAUCAUCCUCUAGCGUCCCGCCCCAAGCGAACGGUAAGGAGGCCUCGCACAAGAUGGAGACAGAUGUCCCUUAACUACCGAUGACAGAGGCAGUUACUGUGAGAGACUUCUAGGAAUAUUUUUCUUCUCAAAAAAGAAGUCAAAGCUCUCUCUGAAUGUACUGUGUGAUGAUGCAUCAUGCAUGAACCUUUGGUCAGGGAUGUCAUUGGUGAAGGGAUUCCAAAAAGUAUUCAAAAUUUGACAUGCUGUUUAGUCACUACCAGUGCCCUCAAAGGGCGGAAGUUGCAGCCUUUUUUCUAUUGCCUGCCAAAUUGGAUGUUUUAAAAAAAUAAAAAAAUAAAAAGAGUGCCAUGAAAAACAGUGAAUUUUCAGAACUACAUCAAUGCCGUGAACAAAACAGCAACACUAUGAAAGCUAAAUCUGAGUUUAAAUUAUUUUAACCAUAUUUUAAUCUCCUCGGAAGAUUACAUGAGAACAAGGUACAUGCAUUAUGUGUCACAUUACUGGGCAAACUGUUCAAAUAUUUUUUUUUAAACCUCCCUGUAUAGAAAAAAAUUCAUUAAGGAUGUAAAAGCCAUGCUUGCCUAUUUGCUGUAUACAUGUAACGAAAUUGUAGAUAAAGUGUAGUGCAUUGAAACAAAAUGAACAAAAAAGUAGAUACUUUUACUAUACAAGGGUGCUGGUGCAGAAAAAAAAAUAUAUUUUUGGAAAUGUAGCAUUUUAUACUUUCAAGUGUUAUAAAAAAAAAAGAAAAAAAGAACAAAGAAACCCUUUAUUUCAUUAAAUGAUUUUUUCUGGUGGUUGUCAAGAAACAAAAGACCAAAAGAGCCUUUUAGUCUUUCUUUUUUAUUUUUUAAGUAUUGGAAUAAGUCUAAAGAAAAGGAAGUGCCUUAUUUUCUUCAUGGUCAUUUAGUCAAAUGUCUUGUAUAAUCAUCUUCUCCCUCAGACAAGUUACUGCAUGCCACUCAGUCGCCCAGUAUGUGAAAAGAAGCUGUGAGGAAAGACAAAUGAUGAGUUGACCAUAUUAAUUACCUGAUUUUUGCCAUAUUAGUGUGACGUGACUUUGCCAUAACCACAUUAGGAAAAACAUUUGGUAAGUUUUUGUCAAAUCAGCCCAUAGUUACUUCCACAACUCUGCUUUACGAAUCAGAGCUAAUACACUACUUGUGCAACGUAAACCAAAGGUUCUGUGAUACAGACUGUCUUAUUCUAAAUUAGGCUAUUAGCUGAGAAACGUUGGUAGAGCUGGAAGAAUUUCUUUUUUGUUCAGGGAUGGAGACAAGUUUUCUUGACUUUGGUUGGAAUAAAUAUGCAUCAGACAUAGUAGACUUCAGAGUCAUCCAGAAAACUGGUGUUCUGUGGAUAAUGAAAGUGCUUAGCUAGUCCUCAGUUAAGGUCUGAGCAUGUCCCCCAUUUUUGUGAGCAGUUUCUGCAGUGUCAAGCAGUAAGCAAGUAAUUUAUUUUUCAGCUCUCCUUUGAUUAAUGUUACAUUUGCCUACUGGCUUUCUUUCGCAAGAUAAGCAGGAGGGGGACAUCAGUUAGCUGUUUGAAGCCCAGCUAUGCUGUAUUUUUAACCCUUACUUUCACGUGAGAUUGAUAUAGCUGGGCAAUCACAGGAGUUGAAGCUGUUGAACGCACAGUAUUUGAAUCUAAAAACAUUAAGUAUCACUUUGUGUGGAGCUCAGUACUAAGCUUGGCAAAUAUCAGGUGAUAACUUUACUCCCCUUCUUGUCAACUUACUCUCCUCCUGCAGAUCUUCACAGCUUCCAAACGAAAGUUCAAUAGUAAGCUAAGAGGGCUUACAUUUUAAGCACCUGCAUGGUGACCUCAUCUAACAUCUUGUCUCACCUGGAAAUAAUUAUCAGUUUAUUUACUAUGCAAUAGACAUUCAUCCUUUUGUAUUCAGCUAGCUUUUUGUUUAUUGUACCACCGGCUUUGUCUUCCUGUUACACAUACAUUGUUGAAUUUUACUUACAGUAUAUACUGUGCCAUUUUGAUUCUUUUUUUUUGGUUGGUUGGUUGAAUAAACUUGCGACACUCAAACAUUUGAAGAGAGAUUUGCUGAAACAAUACCAGUAUUUGAUCCAGUUUCAUCUCAACUAUGAUAAAACCUGGACAUUUUAGAUGUUUAUCAAAGGUCUUUUAUUGGGAGGGAGGGGAAGUAUGUGAAACAGAUGUGUGACAUGUGAAAGUAAUGUUUGCUCUGAACAAAUUUUCUGAAAACUUAGUUGACAAAAUUUUGGAUCAACUUAGGAAAAAAAAAAAGCAUGACUUUUGAAAUCUCUGAAUGCCUUGGUUCUCAGUAUUAUCAUUCUUUAAUGACUUUUUCUUUAUUAAAAUAAGUAGUUUUAAGACUUCUUUCUGACAGUAUUAUGUAAUUUUUUUUUAGAGUGGGUAGAUGGGAGUGUCGCUUGUAUGUAACCGUACAGAUGACAUGUAUUUGUCUGUUCUUUAUUAUCUUAGUAGUUUCAUGCUAUGUAUGUACCAUAACCAACCUAUUGCCUAUGAGAAACAUGUAAGAUAAUGUAUUUACAGCCAUUGUUACAAGUUUAUAAUGUAUUUUUCUAUCUUGUUUUAUAUGUAUGUUAUAUAACAUUCAAAAAGAAUUUUUUUCCUGAUUGAGAAAAAAAGGAUACAAAAUGCAAAACCCACAAUUUUGAUAACAGAGAAAUUGCCAAUUGUUUUGCAGUACUUUAUUAUAUUGGGAGUGUUGUCUUUCUUGGGCUUUUAGUUAGCUACUGGAUGAAUACAUUAGACAUAUUUGGGUUUUAGUUGGGUUUUUACAUAGCUUGCAUUUUAAUUCUUUGGUUCUUUGCUGUUUCUAUUAACCCAUAGCAUUAUUUUAAUAAAUGUUAUAAUACCAACCUACUAACUCUGGACUAUGUCUGUUUAUUAACCAUUACAUGUUUAAUUAAAGUAAACGAAUAAAGACGGAAGAAUGUAAAGUCUUGAGUUACUGGACUAACCCUGAAGAACGUGACCACAGAUAACACAACGUGACUUGUUUUUAUGUUGUUUGUCGGCUGACAUUCUGCACACUACUAUUAAGUUGGCUUUGGUCGUUCUGGCCUUUUACCUUGGGGAAUAGGUGCCAGUAGAUAAGGGAACAAAGUAGCUUUUUUUUUUUUUUUUUUUUUUUUUUUUGAGGCAUUCUUCUUGUAGUCUUGCCACUUGCCUUUCAGCAUCUGCAUUACUAAUUCCACACUUUCUUUUUCUUUCUCUAAAAUAAUUACUGUCGGCUCACAGCAAAAGAGCAAAGAUGCCAGUGUAUUGGUAAAUCAUGAUGGUGUACAGAAACCAGUUUGAUUCUUUGUUGAACCAUUCAGAGGUUGCAGUUAAUCUUGUUGCAAUUGGUGAUUUGAUGGCUUGGGCACCUGUUGCAUCAUGGUACAUUUCCAAGCACAAAAUACAUCUAGAUGUGAUUAGCAGUACGUUGAAAUACAAAAUCUUCUUUUAUUCCCUUGCCAAAAGUGCCUUAUUUUCUUCAUGCCGUGCUAUUUUCAUGUAAUAUUUUGUACUUCUGCUAUAGUCUAUCAGUAUUACAUAGCUCAGGGGAGUACAAUUUCUGUAAGCCAAAGGUCAGAACGGAUCAUUUCCUAAUGACUGUAGAAAGUAUAAAAACACACCUUUCACUAAAUUUCCAAGCAACAGCCAUUUCAAAUUCCAUGUCUGCCUUUAUGUAAUCUUUAUCCCUGCGGAUGACUGUAGCAACAUGAAUGCAGGGAAUCGAAACGGGGAAAACACUGUUUUGAUUGUACCUCUAUGCAGAUGAUUUUUAUGGAAACGUUUCUCUUGCCGCUUCUGUUGUCUGAGGCUCCUUUCCACAGCAUGGGUAGUUUUGCAAUCUUAAGGGGAACAGUCAUUACAGCUAAUGUCAAAGGAGACUGUUGAUGUAGAUCACUCUUCAGAUAUCAACAGCCUUGGUGAAAAACCCCAUUUAUUUUUGUGUCUAUAGUAAAAAUUCAGAUAAGGAGAUUUUUCAACAUUUAUGGUGUUUCAAACUAAGCAUUUCAAAGUCCACGUGAUAUAAAAUCUUAAGAAGUUCUUCCAGUAUUGAUAAUAAUUGAAAUUGUAUGCAUCUUUAUUUUAUGGAAGAAAAAUAAGUGAGCCACGAUGAAGAUGUUUGUUUUAUGAGAAUGUGUAGCUUUUCGUUUGUUCUACAGAAACUCAUAGGUACAGUUAGAUUUCUAUCAGUAUAUUUAGAAUAGUUUCACUUGUACAGAAAUUUGAACAGAUCACAAACAUGCUGCUAUCCUAAAAGUCAGUCACAGGCAGAUGAUGAAACAACAAAAAAGGGCAUUUUCAACAGAUAACAUUAGGAAACUUUGAUUAAGUGAUGGCACGAGUGUCAUUUCAGAGUCACUAAUUUAUAUCCUUUGAACGUUUCAUCAGAGGCGCAUAUUUAAAUUCAGUGAAGCAUUCUCCAGUGUAAGUGAAACUAUUCAGAUAGGAUAAAUGAUGUUAUGUAUUGAAAAAUAGUUCUAUUCCUAAAACUACUACUUUUUCUUCAAUGUUUCUAAUGCUUUCUAUUUUUCAUUAGAUGUGAACUACUGUCAUACUUGGUCCACAGUGCAUUUUCAUCUCAUUCUUUAAAGUCCUGAGAAUUGCCCUAAAUUCUGAAGUAUUUUAAAGCAGAAAGAGAGCAAAAUAAUGGAAGCCCUUAAAAUCCAAAUUUUAUAAUAAUUGCUUUUGACCAUCAAAUGGAUUUCUCAGUUUACAUUAAAUGCCUGCCUGAACAUUUAUUUUAUACUUUGCUUAUUGAAAAGAAACAGGCUAUUUUUAGAACUGUAUUUGUGGGAGGAUGCCUUCAGUAUUUCAGCAUCACUGAAGCUGGAUUGUUCGUUAUUUUCUUCCAUGGUUAAAUUCUCUUUACAUUUGAAAGAUCUUACAUUCAAGUCAUGUAUAGAGUUGCUGGUCUGUCCAGUAACAUGGAUUAAUUUUAGGAGAAACUUUUUUUUUUUUUUUCUUGUAAAUAGCUCAGAAUAUAAGCAAAAACACCACAAUGCCUUUUAAAAUAUAACCUGAGCAGUGCUAUUGAUUUCUUAAGUGAAAUGUUGUGCCAAAUUAUAACAAAUUUUAUUUCUCUGA